UAAAACUGAAAUAAUCUCCUAAAAACCCUAGCUCAGCUUCAUUUCGGAAAACCCCUGCCCAGCUUUCCAAAGACCAAUCGUUUCCCCUUCUUCAGGCAUUUAAGAAAAUGAUUAAAAUUAAGAUUGUGUCUUUAAUCAAUAUGUGCCUUUGUCUGGUAAAAAUCUCGAUCCUUCUUCUUCUUUAAGGUCGUUCUAGAUCUCUGGCAUCUUUUUCAGCCGUUGUUGUCAUCGAUCUUAGCAGUUGUCCUUCCAAGGUAGUGCCUUUGUUGCAAACAGAGUAUGGAUUCAAUUAUUAACUAUCGUUCUACAGUUGAGGAUCUUUCGUUUCGGGCCCUUGGAAAUUAUGCCAGUUCCUAAUUUUGAAGUUUGUCUGUCAAAAGCCCCGUCAAAGUUUAUUUUGAUUUCGGACGGUUUUGGUGGUCUCCACCGUUCUUCUUCUAUUCUCUGACCGGGAUCUUGUUUCUCCGCAUCCAUAUCGGCCAGAUGCUAUAGAAAAUAGCCUUACUCUACAUAUUUGUCAUUCUGUGAUAAACUCUUUAAUCCAGUGUUGAUAUCUCUCUCCCUCUUUCCUUCGAGUUACUUGCAUCCCUAGCUCCUUCCAGAUAUUUCCGACUACAAUGCAAUCCCUGAAGGCAUGUUCCAUUUAUUUUGUACCUCUUUUACAGCAAGGGCAUAAUUUUGUGUUGCAAAUCCAUUUGUAGUAUAAAUUACCCAUUGUUGGAAUGUAUCCAUUAUACACCUUCCAAUUUGUAAUUUUUAUU